GCAUGCCUACAACAUAGCAUUAAUGCACUAGAUUCCAUUAGAACUAUGCAGUUAAGAACACUUAGGCUGGAGUAGUACUGGGAUGGGUGAUCGCUCGAGAAGUCCUAGUGUUUUACAUGCC
rnacentral:rRNA from 1 species